CGCUCAAUGCACCACCACUUUAAUUUUGGUUCCUACUAAGGUGUUACUGAGAUUUAAUCCAGAACAUGAUUUCCUUGCGUCGCUAGAAGAAAGGAACUUAGUGUUUGCUCUUUUCUCUCUUCCUUUGCCCUGAAUUUCAUGAAAAUGCUAAAAAGCUCUCGAUCUUAAACUCAUUAGAAUCUUCCCUAGACUCAUGAUCUUUAGUCACAUCAUAUACAUUGAUGCAAGUGAUGUGUCCAUGAAUAUGUAAAACCCUCUGAUCGUAUAGCCUUGUUCUUGAAAACUAGUUCUCUUACUAAUUUUGUCAACAUUUUGUUAACGAGUCUUAUCGUUUUCUCACCAU